GCAGCGAUGCCGCGUGAGUGAAGAAGGCCCUUGGGUUGUAAAGCUCUUUCGUCGGGGAAGAAAAUGACUGUACCCGAAUAAGAAGGUCCGGCUAACUUCGUGCCAGCAGCCGCGGUAAUACGAAGGGACCUAGCGUAGUUCGGAAUUACUGGGCUUAAAGAGUUCGUAGGUGGUUGAAAAAGUUAGUGGUGAAAUCCCAGAGCUUAACUCUGGAACUGCCAUUAAAACUUUUCAGCUAGAGUAUGAUAGAGGAAAGCAGAAUUUCUAGUGUAGAGGUGAAAUUCGUAGAUAUUAGAAAGAAUACCAAUUGCGAAGGCAGCUUUCUGGAUCAUUACUGACACUGAGGAACGAAAGCAUGGGUAGCGAAGAGGAUUAGAUACCCUCGUAGUCCAUGCCGUAAACGAUGUGUGUUAGACGUUGGAAAUUUAUUUUCAGUGUCGCAGGGAAACCGAUAAACACACCGCCUGGGGAGUACGACCGCAAGGUUAAAACUCAAAUGAAUUGACGGGGACCCGCACAAGUAGUGGAGCAUGUGGUUUAAUUCGAAGAUACGCGCAGAACCUUACCAACACUUGACAUGUUCGUCGCGACUCUAAGAGAUUAGAGUUUUCGGUUCGGCCGGACGAAACACAGGUGCUGCAUGGCUGUCGUCAGCUCGUGUCGUGAGAUGUUGGGUUAAGUCCCGCAACGAGCGCAACCCUCACUUUUAGUUGCCAUCAUUAAGUUGGGCACUCUGAAAGAACUGCCAGUGAUAAGCUGGAGGAAGGUGGGGAUGACGUCAAGUCC
rnacentral:rRNA from 1 species